rnacentral:rRNA from 1 species
AUUGAACGCUGGCGGCAGGCCUAACACAUGCAAGUCGAGCGGAUGAAGGGAGCUUGCUCCUGGAUUCAGCGGCGGACGGGUGAGUAAUGCCUAUGAAUCGGCCUGGUAGUGGGGGAUAACGUCCGGAAACGGGCGCUAAUCUCGCAUACGUCCUGCGGGAGAUAUUGGGGGAUCUUCGGAUCUCACGCUAUCAGAUUAGCCUAGGUCGGAUUAGUUAGUUGGUGGCGUAAGGGCCUACCAAGGCGACGAUCGGUAACUGGUCUGAGGGGAUGGUCAGUCACACUGGAGCUGAGACACGGUCCAGACUCCUACGGGAGGCCGCAGUGGCGAAGAUUGGACGAUGGGCGAAAGCCUGCUCCAGCGAUGCCGCGUGUGUGCAGAAGGUCUUCGGAUUGGAAAGCACUUUAAGUUGGGAGGACGGGCAGUAAGUUAAUACAUUGCUGUUUUGACGUUACCAACAGAAUAAGCACCGGCUAACUUCGUG